UAAUAGGAUUUUUUCAAAUCCAUUAUUUAUUACUAAAGUUGAGAG
rfam:Trichinella patagoniensis scaffold4s, whole genome shotgun sequence.